GAAAGAAAUCUAGUCCACAAAUCCCAAGAUAUCUUCUGAAGUUUCAGGGAUCAAAAUUUACAUUCUUUUGGGCAAAGCACCCUCAGAAUGACUGGACCAGUCCAAAAUUCCACCAACAGUGAAUUAAGGGCCCUGUUGCUGUGCCUCCCUUUUCCCUCCCAGGCUUGACCACUAUGCCAUCAUUAAGUUUCCCUUGACCACUGAGUCUGCCAUGAAGAAGACUGAGGACAACAACACGCUGGUUUUCAUUGUGGACGUCAAGGCCAACAAGCAUCAGAUCAAGCAGGCCAUCAGGAAGCUCUAUGACAUUGACGUGGCUAAGUCAACACGCUGAUUCAGCCUGAUGGAGAGAAGAAGGCCUAUGUCCGACUUGCUCCAGGCUAUGAUGCUUUAGAUGUUGCCAACAAAAUUGGAAUCAUCUAAACUCUGUCCAGCUAUCCCACUCCACCUACAAUAAAAAAGUUUUCCAGU